AACGAACGCUGGCGGCAUGCCUAACACAUGCAAGUCGAACGAGACCUUCGGGUCUAGUGGCGCACGGGUGCGUAACGCGUGGGAACCUGCCCUUAGGUUCGGAAUAACUCCCCGAAAGGGGUGCUAAUACCGGAUAAUGUCUUCGGACCAAAGAUUUAUCGCCUUUGGAUGGGCCCGCGUUGGAUUAGCUAGUUGGUAGGGUAAAAGCCUACCAAGGCGACGAUCCAUAGCUGGUCUGAGAGGAUGAUCAGCCACACUGGGACUGAGACACGGCCCAGACUCCUACGGGUGGCAGCAGUGGGGAAUAUUGGACACUGGGCGAAAGCCUGAUCCAGCAAUGCCGCGUGAGUGAUGAAGGCCUUAGGGUUGUAAAGCUCUUUUACCCGGGAUGAUAAUGACAGUACCGGGCGAAUAAGCUCCGGCUAACUCCGUG
rnacentral:rRNA from 1 species